rnacentral:rRNA from 1 species
CAGCAGUAGCCGCGGGAAUACCGAGGGUGCGAGCGUUAAUCGGAUUUACUGGGCGUAAAGCGUGCGUAGGCGGCUUUUUAAGUCGGAUGUGAAAUCCCUGAGCUUAACUUAGGAAUUGCAUUCGAUACUGGGAAGCUAGAGUAUGGGAGAGGAUGGUAGAAUUCCAGGUGUAGCGGUGAAAUGCGUAGAGAUCUGGAGGAAUACCGAUGGCGAAGGCAGCCAUCUGGCCUAAUACUGACGCUGAGGUACGAAAGCAUGGGGAGCAAACAGGAUUAGAUACCCCUGUAGUCCCUGUCUCUUAUAC